GGAAGAUCGUCAUCUCCGGUGAGGUGGCUGGACUUCAAAUCCAGUUGGGGGCGCCAGCGUUCCCGGGCAGGUUCGACUCCUGUGAUCUUCCGC
rnacentral:tRNA from 2 species